rnacentral:rRNA from 1 species
GGAGGAAAGUAGGGGAUCGCAAGACCUUGCGUUAUUGGAGCGGCCUAUGUCUGAUUAGCUAGUUGGCGGGGUAAAGGCCUACCAAGGCGACGAUCAGUAGCUGAUCUGAGAGGAUGAUCAGCCACACUGGGACUGAGACACGGCCCAGACUCCUACGGGAGGCAGCAGUGGGGAAUUUUGGACAAUGGGGGCAACCCUGAUCCAGCCAUGCCGCGUGAGUGAAGAAGGCCUUCGGGUUGUAAAGCUCUUUCGCGAGGGAAGAAAUCGGCGGGGAUAAUACCUCCGCCGGAUGACGGUACCUUGAGAAGAAGCACCGGCUAACUACGUGCCAGCAGCCGCGGUAAUACGUAGGGUGCGAGCGUUAAUCGGAAUUACUGGGCGUAAAGCGUGCGCAGGCGGCUUGCCAAGUCAGAUGUGAAAGCCCCGGGCUCAACCCGGGAACUGCGUUUGAAACUACAAAGCUAG